UACGAAGGGGGCUAGCGUUGUUCGGAAUUACUGGGCGUAAAGCGCACGUAGGCGGACUUUUAAGUCAGAGGUGAAAUCCCGGGGCUCAACCCCGGAACUGCCUUUGAUACUGGGGGUCUCGAGUAUGGUAGAGGUGAGUGGAAUUCCGAGUGUAGAGGUGAAAUUCGUAGAUAUUCGGAAGAACACCAGUGGCGAAGGCGGCUCACUGGACCAUUACUGACGCUGAGGUGCGAAAGCGUGGGGAGCAAACAGG
rnacentral:rRNA from 1 species